GUGGAUGGAACGCAAGGCUAGAGGGGGAGGGGACAGCUGAGGGAGGAGGAAGAGGAAUAAGAAAGGGGAUGGGUUGUAGUCACCGGUGCCAGGGACUCACAUAAGCUUGUUGCAAACCGGAGGCUGAAAGGAGGCCCGAUUCUCUUCUACCCAAGACUUCACUCUCACACAGCGCUCCAUGGCCGGCAGGCAGGACUCUUCUACCCACAACGUGGUCGCCAGGCUGCUGUCCAGCUAAUCAAACAACAAUUGGCUGUGAACAUAAGCCCACGAAUCCAGUAGUUACUCAGUCCACAAGGCUGGAUGUCUCAGCUGAUUUUCUGUAUAUUCUGGAGUCCCACAGAAGUAGGCUCUAUUCCACUGAAGGGAUGGAUGAUGUGCUAGAAAGGUCAAGUCUAGAAGAGGAUUCAUCCACUUCAAACAAGCAAAGUCAUCUCUCACAGGUGUUCCCUCCAUUUCUGGAUCAUUGCUCAUUCCAGAUGUCAUCAAGCUGACAAACGGGAACAGCCAUCACAAAGGGCGAGCGCAAGAUGGGUCAGCACGUGCAGACACUUGUUCCUGAGCUGACGACCUACAUUCCAUCCCUGGGACCCACAGUGAUGGAAGGUGAGGACUGACUCGUGACAAUUGUCUUCUCACCUCCAAACACACUCUGCGGGCCAAAAAUAAAAACAAAUUAGAUAAAUGUA